rnacentral:rRNA from 1 species
AGAGUUUGAUCCUGGCUCAGGAUGAACGCUGGCGGCGUGCUUAACACAUGCAAGUCGAACGAACCUUCGGGUUAGUGGCGGACGGGUGAGUAACGCGUGAGAAUCUGCCCUCAGGAGGGGGAUAACAGCUGGAAACGGCUGCUAAUACCCCAUAUGCCGCGAGGUGAAAUGAAUUUCGCCUGAGGAUGAGCUCGCGUCUGAUUAGCUAGUUGGUGUAGGUAAUGGCUCACCAAGGCAUCGAUCAGUAGCUGGUCUGAGAGGAUGAUCAGCCACACUGGGACUGAGACACGGCCCAGACUCCUACGGGAGGCAGCAGUGGGGAAUUUUCCGCAAUGGGCGAAAGCCUGACGGAGCAACGCCGCGUGAGGGAUGAAGGCCUCUGGGCUGUAAACCUCUUUUAUCAAGGAAGAAGAUCUGACGGUACUUGAUGAAUAAGCCACGGCUAAUUCCGUGCCAGCAGCCGCGGUAAUACGGGAGUGGCAAGCGUUAUCCGGAAUUAUUGGGCGUAAAGCGUCCGCAGGCGGCCCUUCAAGUCUGCUGUUAAAAAGUGGAGCUUAACUCCAUCAUGGCAGUGGAAACUGAGGGGCUUGAGUGUGGUAGGGGCAGAGGGAAUUCCCGGUGUAGCGGUGAAAUGCGUAGAUAUCGGGAAGAACACCAGUGGCGAAGGCGCUCUGCUGGGCCAUCACUGACGCUCAUGGACGAAAGCCAGGGGAGCGAAAGGGAUUAGAUACCCCUGUAGUCCUGGCCGUAAACGAUGAACACUAGGUGUCGGGGGAAUCGACCCCCUCGGUGUCGUAGCCAACGCGUUAAGUGUUCCGCCUGGGGAGUACGCACGCAAGUGUGAAACUCAAAGGAAUUGACGGGGGCCCGCACAAGCGGUGGAGUAUGUGGUUUAAUUCGAUGCAACGCGAAGAACCUUACCAGGGUUUGACAUCCUGCGAAUCUUUUGGAAACGAGAGAGUGCCUUCGGGAGCGCAGUGACAGGUGGUGCAUGGCUGUCGUCAGCUCGUGUCGUGAGAUGUUGGGUUAAGUCCCGCAACGAGCGCAACCCACGUCUUUAGUUGCCAGCAUUUAGUUGGGCACUCUAGAGAGACCGCCGGUGAUAAACCGGAGGAAGGUGUGGAUGACGUCAAGUCAUCAUGCCCCUUACAUCCUGGGCUACACACGUACUACAAUGCUACGGACAAAGGGCAGCAAGUUCGCGAGGACAAGCAAAUCCCAUAAACCGUGGCUCAGUUCAGAUCGUAGGCUGCAACUCGCCUACGUGAAGGAGGAAUCGCUAGUAAUCGCAGGUCAGCAUACUGCGGUGAAUACGUUCCCGGGCCUUGUACACACCGCCCGUCACACCAUGGAAGUUGGCCACGCCCGAAGCCGUUACUCCAACCCUUGUGGAGGAGGACGUCGAAGGUGGGGCUGAUGACUGGGGUGAAGUCGUAACAAGGUAACC